rnacentral:rRNA from 1 species
CCUACGGGAGGCAGCAGUGGGGAAUAUUGGGCAAUGGAGGAAACUCUGACCCAGCGACGCCGCGUGCGGGAUGAAGGCCUUCGGGUUGUAAACCGCUUUCAGUAGGGAAGAAGCGAAAGUGACGGUACCUACAAAAGAAGCACCGGCUAACUAUGUGCCAGCAGCCGCGGUAAUACAUAGGGUGCAAGCGUUGUCCGGAAUUAUUGGGCGUAAAGAGCUCGUAGGUCGUUUGUUACGUCGGAUGUGAAAACCUGAGGCUCAACCUCAGGCCUGCAUUCGAUACGGGCAAACUAGAGUUUGGUAGGGGAGACUGGAAUUCCUGGUGUAGCGGUGGAAUGCGCAGAUAUCAGGAGGAACACCAAUGGCGAAGGCAGGUCUCUGGGCCAAUACUGACACUGAGGAGCGAAAGUCUGGGGAGCGAACAGGAUUAGAUACCCUGGUAGUCCAGACCGUAAACGGUGGGCACUAGUUGUGGGAACCUUCCACGGUUUCUGCGACGCAGCUAACGCAUUAAGUGCCCCGCCUGGGGAGUACGAUCGCAAGAUUAAAACUCAAAGANAUGCGNGNGAGNGCGACGAGACGACGACGAGGAG